GCAGGUUUUCCUAUAAAUUUAUUUUCAUACCAAAAAAAUAACAUUCAAAGGCAAUGUUUUUAUUGUAUAGUAUAAAAUAACUUCCACUAAAUUAAAAAUGGAAUUUCUUUGCCAUAAGCCACUGAUAACUUUUUCAUUAAAAAAAUUUACAAUUUGCAGCACUUGUAGGAAAAAAACACCUGUUUAAUAAUUAUAUAAAUACUCUUGACAGCCCAGUAGCCCAUUAUGUGUCUUUUUUGGCAAUGUCAGCUUUCUAAAGUCAAUUAGCUCCUAAAUUUGAAAGGCACCUGGUGGCCAACAUUCUGCUUAUUAUUCAAGGCAUCCACUUUAAUUUUUUUGCACAGACUUGACAAGUCUGAAAAAUCUAUUAAGUUAAAAAGAAUGGAGAAAUAUAAUACAGUUGAUAUUAACAAACAACAUUUCUUCCCCUUAGCCACAAGUUCUCCCCCAGGGGAUUUACAAAGUGCACCAGUUAAAUAUGUCUGUACAUUUAAAACAUUAAAUAUGUCAACAGCAAGACAGUUUUAAAUAUUUUGAAUCAAAUACUAUAGCACAAAUAUAAUUUACAAUACUUUGCACAGGAAACAUUACAUCUGAAAUAUAACUUUAGAUAUUAUAUAAAAAUACAUAUAUUCUUCUCUCCUCAUUAGAAAAAGUAUUUAUUUGCAGGUUCCAGCAAGAUGUAACAAUUCAAAAGAAUUUAACCCUUCAGAUGGUCAUCAUUUUGCAAUUAAAAGACACCCUCUCCACUUCAACUGCAUGGUGGUAUAUAACCAACAGAUUAUAGAGCCAGAGAAUUAACCCCUCCCAUUGCCCAAAGGCAGUUUUUCUCAAAGACAGCCAUAACUCCUCCAAUCUGCUUUAAUUCUAGGAACUCAUUACAAAAUUUAUGAACCAUUAUGUAAGAAAACCCUUAGAUUUUUAUACACCUUGAGUCCAACAUCUCCCAUUGGCUGUAAAUAUAUUUGCUCCUUACAGAGUCAAAGGCAUGGGUAGGGUCUUC
rnacentral:lncRNA from 1 species